CCUACGUGGGGCAGCAGUGAGGAAUAUUGGUCAAUGGGCGCGAGCCUGAACCAGCCAAGUAGCGUGAAGGAUGACUGCCCUACGGGUUGUAAACUUCUUUUAUAAAGGAAUAAAGUGAGGCACGUGUGCCUUUUUGUAUGUACUUUAUGAAUAAGGAUCGGCUAACUCCGUGCCAGCAGCCGCGGUAAUACGGAGGAUCCGAGCGUUAUCCGGAUUUAUUGGGUUGAAAGGGAGCGUAGAUGGGUUGUUAAGUCAGUUGUGAAAGUUUGCGGCUCAACCGUAAAAUUGCAAUUGAUACUGGCAGUCUUGAUUACAGUUGAGGUAGGCGGAAUUCGUGGUGUAGCGGUGAAAUGCUUAGAUAUCACGAAGAACUCCGAUUGCGAAGGCAGCUUACUAAACUGCCACUGACAUUGAUGCUCGAAAGUGUGGGUAUCAAACAGGAUUAGAUACCCUUGUAGUC
rnacentral:rRNA from 1 species